rnacentral:rRNA from 1 species
GAUGAACGCUGGCGGCGUGCCUAAUACAUGCAAGUCGAGCGAACAGACGAGGAGCUUGCUCCUCUGACGUUAGCGGCGGACGGGUGAGUAACAUGUGGAUAACCUACCUAUAAGACUGGGAUAACUUCGGGAAACCGGAGCUAAUACCGGAUAAUAUAUUGAACCGCAUGGUUCAAUAGUGAAAGACGGUUUUGCUGUCACUUAUAGAUGGAUCCGCGCCGCAUUAGCUAGUUGGUAAGGUAACGGCUUACCAAGGCAACGAUGCGUAGCCGACCUGAGAGGGUGGUCGGCCACACUGGAACUGAGACACGGUCCAGACUCCUACGGGAGGCAGCAGUAGGGAAUCUUACGCAAUGGGCGAAAGCCUGACGGAGCAACGCCGCGUGAGUGAUGAAGGUCUUCGGCUCGUAAAACUCUGUUAUUAGGGAAGAACAAAUGUGUAAGUAACUAUGCACGUAUUGACGGUACCUGGUCAGGAAGCCACGGCUAACUACGUG